GAAAGGCUUGACAGUGUGUAGAAUCCGGGACGAGCGCAACCAUGGCCUGCCUCAAUCCUACUUUCUUAGGUCACCUGAGGAGAGCAGCUGCAUGUUGGAGGACCCUCGAGCAGCCCUGUGGAGAAGGCCGUGUUGGGAAUACAGUGAGGUCUCCUGUCAGCAGCUCUGAAGCACGCCUUGGAGGCCAGGAAAAGGAUUCAGAUUACUUGGAACCAGAGUUACAGACACCUGAGAGCCACCAUGUGAGUGCUGGGAAUCAAACUCUGGUCCUCUGGAAGAGAAGCCUGUGUUCUUAACUGCUGAGCCAUCUCUCUGGUCCCCUAAGGUCUCUGUUUUAAUGGCUUAAGUUCAGUAAUGUCCUCAAAAUCUCCCUUGCUAUCUGAUGGUAGCUUAUUAAAGGCUUCCAGAAUUUGGGUGGAGACAUCUUUGAGAACAGGAUGCAGAGGAAAGCACACAAUAUUGUGCUCGCAGAGUAACGGUAUUCUCCGUAUAAUAAAGUAUAUAGCCGAAUGCUGGGUACAUAGGAUGCACUCUAGAAGUGUUACCACUGCCAUUUUGGUCCCACUGGCCAGUGCCUGGCACUGUGCUGGACAUUAAAGGUGUCACAGUGAUGGAAACACAGCUGCCUGCCUUGUAUGGCUUGGCUGAUCUUUUCAACGUGACAUUCAGAAUCUCAAAGUUACACCCAUGCUGUGCUCAACUCCACUCCACAGAUGCUUGGCCAGGCUUCAGUUGGCUUUCCUCAGGUAGCAAACCACCUCAUAGUUCACUGACAGCAGCUCACAGCUGUUUCCUAUUUGGAUCUUGGUUUGCCCAUUUCUCCCUUCUAUGGAUCCAAAGCUUGAAGCUUUCUCAAGUGACAUCCCCAGGGCAGGGACGCUGGCUGGCUUCUUUCUGCAGAGCUGUGAUUUAAUGUCUUGCUAUGGGCUCCUGUCAGAGGUCAAAAUACAGAGCCUUCAAAGAGUGCUUCUGCACCCCUGUAAAACAGCAGCGAAGGAUGGCAUCUGUUUCCUCCUGUGUGGUCCUUUCUGAGUGAAUUUGGUUUCCAUGGUGCCCGGGCGCAUUUCCUGUCGGGAGGCUGACUGUGGGUGACUUUAUUCCUUCUUGCCUCUGCUGCGGGGAAGCUUCACCCCAUAAAUGCGACUUCCUUUAGCCAGUUUUACUCACUUUCCUUGAUGCUGUGAUGAGAUGCCUGAUAAGGAGCAAAUUAAGGGCGGGAAAAGACCAGCGUGGCUCACAGUUUGACUAUACAGUCCAUCAUGGGGGAAUAUCACGGGAUAGAAGAGGUUGCUGGUCACAUUGCAUCCAAAGACAGGAAACAGAGAGAUGGAUGCUGGACCUUUCUCCUUUUUAUUCACCCAGCCUCUGGAUGGUACCACCAACAUUCAAAAUAGGCCUUCCCUCCUCAGUUAGGUCUUAUUGUGCGAACAAUCAAAAUUAACUACCACAUCAAUCAUGUAUCAUGUUGAAUAAUGUCCCCUCUACUAUCUUGCUGAGAUCAGACACAUGGACAACAUCCUAGAAUGUUCUACCUCCUCGCACUUGCCAAAUAGAUUUACCCUUGAAAUAUGAGGCGUUGGCAUGCUGAGUAUUUUGCACUAGGCCCUUGAGGAUGCAGAUACAGAUAGAGGCGCACCCUGGAUUCCUCAGUCUCUCCAAAAAAGUAUGUUCCAGAAGGAAUUCAGGUUCCACAAAUCUCCCGAGGAACUUCACAGCCCAGGGGGCUUCUCUUGACCAUGCUUGUGGUGAUUUGAAUGAAAAUGGCCUUAAUAAAUGCAUGUUUGAAUACUCGGUCCCAAGUUGGUAGAACUGUUUGGGAAGAAUUAGGGGCUGCACCCUUGUUGGAGGAGGUAUGGAGGGCUUUGUUGGAGGAAGUGUGGUUCUGUUGGAGGAGGUGUGAUCUUAUUGGAGGAGGUAUGGUCUUGUUGGAAGAGGUGUGGCCUUUUUGGAGGAGAUGUGGUCCUAUUGGAGGAGGUGUGGUCCUGUUGGAGGAGGUGUGGUCUUGGAGGAGGUAUGGUCUUAUUGGAGGAGGUGUGGUCUUAUUGGAGGAGGUAUGGUCUUGUUGGAGGAGGUGUGGUCCUGUUGGAGGAGGUGUGGUCUUAUUGGAGGAGGUGUGGUCUUGUUGGAGGAGGUGUGGUCCUAUUGGAGGAGGUGUGGUCUUAUUGGAGGAGGUGUGGUCUUGUUGGAGGAGGUGUGGUCCUGUUGGAGGAGGUGUGGUCUUGGAGGAGGUGUGGUCUUGUUGGGGGAGGUGUGGUCCUGUUGGAGGAGGUGUGGUCUUGGAGGAGGUGUGGUUUUGUUGGAGGAGGUGUGGUCUUGUUGGAGGAGGUAUGGCCUUUUUGGAGGAGAUUUGGUCUUAUUGGAAGAUGUGUCAGGCUUUAACGUUUCAAAAGACUAGUGGGAAUCCACUGUGCCUCUCUCUGUCAUCUACUUCCUGUUAGAGUUGUGAGUUCUCCGCUGUUCCUGCCACCAUGCCUUCACUCUGCCAUCAUGGACUCCAACCCUCUGAAACCAUAAACCCAAUUAAAUACUUUCUAAAUUGCCUUGGUCAUGGCGUUUUGUCACAGCAUAUAAAAGUAACUAAAACAACAGGAGAGAAGACUGGAGUCAUACCUUUAAUUAGUGACUUCCUGGCCAAAUAAGAGACCCUGUCUAAAAUCCCAAGGUGAAUGACUCCUGAGGAAUAAUGCCCAUGGUUGACUUCUGGCCCCUACACACACAUGAAGGCACACACAGGACACACAACAAUGAGGAGGACCUUAUUAAUGAGAUCAUAUUUGCAGUAAGACUUUGAGGAGAUGGAAGUCAGCUAUUCAGGUAUCAGAAUAAGGAGAACUGAGAGAGGACAGAACUGGAGUUACCCAGCUGGGACGACACGCCAGAAGCAGUAGGAGAAGCAGCAAGAAGAAAGGGCUUGUUCAUUGUUAGCCGAGGGUGGGGGUGGGGGUGUCUUUUUUUUUUCAGUGCUGAGAAUUGAACCAAAGUCUUACACAUGCCAAGCUACACCCCCAGCACUUCUCUUUGUUUUGUCACUUGUUUGUUUGUUUGUUUGUUUGUUUUUGAGGCAAGUUCUUACUACAUAGGACAGGACAGGCUGCAACUGGAGCCUCUCAUGCACUUAUCUUGAAAAUGCUGGGGUUACAUGCAUGCAUGCCCACGCCUAUUUGAGGCAGAGUUUUGAGUGUAGAGACAAACAGUGCAGUCUGACCAGCAAGCACAUGCUUGUUACCGAAUGAGAAUGGCAAACAGAGGACACUCCAAACAGGUGACUUUCCAAGUGCUCAGCAGUGUGUCUGUCUGCAGACAGGCAAGCCCCCCCCCCCCCCCCGGAAAUACAAGAUGCAGGCUCACUGCAGUCCCAAGAAGGCACAGCAGGGGCCUUUAGGUAGCAGAAAGGGGCUCCCACAUGCAUUUUAAUGUGCACAGCGCCUGGCAUUGAGUUGAGUUUGCGGAAAGGAAAACUCCUGGGACAACAGGAGAAAGGGAGACAGCUGUCUCCCUCUUGAGGCUUCAUAGUGAUCAUUGGUACACUGUGUGGUAAUGGCGUCACCUGAGGUCAGCUGCCAGGAAAGACUGCACUAGUGCCAAGGCCCAUUCUCCCCACAGAAUAGUCAGCUCCACUCUGAGGCUCAAAUUAAGCUCUGAAUCCCAUGUUUAGGUGCUCGAGCUGAAAGUAACAGGGAGAUGCUGCAGUGCUCCAUCUCAAGAAGCAGCUACCUGGGAGUCGGUCUUCUAGCAGCCUCCAAAUGAAGAGGUUGAACUCUCAGCUCCUCCUGCACCAUGCCUGCCUGGAUGCAGCCAUGCUCCCACCUUCAUGAUAAUGGACUGAACCUCUGACCCUGUAAGCCAGCCCCAAUUAAAUGUCGUCCUUAAAUGAGAGUUGCCUUGGUCGUGGUGGCUGUUCGCAGCUGUAAAACCCUAGGACAGGGGCCCUAGUUAGAAUCCUAGUGUUUGGGAGGCAGAGACAAAAAGGUGUCUGAAGUCUUAGGCUACUUUGGUAAACUUCAGGCCAUUGAGAGGCCCUGCCUCAAAAACGAUGUGGAUGAUACCUGAGGAACAACACCCAGACUUUCCCUAUGAUCUCCACAUGCAUGAACACAUGGCUGCUCAUUUACCCUCACAUAUGUGUGCAACUGCACACACACAUAUAUGUACACAUGCAUGCACAUGCACACAAGAGUUGGGGGUGGUGACCUGCAGUUGGUAGACCCUGCCACCAGACUUAUGGCGUGAGUUCAAUUCCUUGAACCUACAUAAAGGAAGGAGAGAGCCAAGUUCUGCCAAGGUGCCCUCUGACCUCACUUACGUGCUAUGGCAUGGGUGUGUCCACAUAGUAUACACAAAAUAAACGAGAAAAGUAAAACACAAAUAGUUUUUUAAAAAAGGAAAAACGGGGAGAGGGGCUGGUAUGGACCUGGCCUCACUGAGGGUUUGGUGUGGCUGCAGUUGGAGAUAACAUGCUGAGCAGGACCAAUGUCUCCAUGACCCAUGCAUUAGAGGAAGCAGUCUACCCCAGGUUCUGCAGAAUCACAGGCAGUCUGUCGAGUUCAUCUCUUGAAGAAUGAUGAAGACCCACGUUCUGGAAGAGAAAGGGGUGGGGACAGGGCAAAGCAAGUGAGGCGAUGGGCAUGGUCGGCACCCAAAAGACAGGUGGAGCUUGGAACCUGAGUGGCCUGAAUAUGGAGAAGGAUGUUAGGGAACAUUGUCUCCUUGACAGGAUAGGAGAUGAGGCUCUGGGUCUGUCAGGAAGUCUGUAGAUUAGAAACCUUAUUUUGAGGUAGCUCCAUGCCAUGGGCAGGGUUUGCUCUGAGUAAGGAGAAAGCUAGCUGAGCGCCAGCAUGCCCCCCCUCUCUGGUUCCUGCCUGCAGAUGCAAUGCAGGCAGCAGCCUCGUGCUCUUUCUGGUCCACCUAUCCUAGUUAGGAUGGGCAGGACCCAUGAACCAUGAGGCAGAAUAAACCCUUCCUUCCUUCAGCUGAUUUUGUUCUGCUGUUUAUCACAGCAACAAGAAAGGCAACUUAACGAAAAGGACUGUGGUGACCUCAUGUGUGCCCUUGGCUGCUGGAGAGGGCCAUGGCUGCUAAGUGGCAGCAUUUCCUCCUGUUGUUCAUGGUUCAGCAUGGCACUUCCUGUUGUUCCUCCCAUCCAAGCUAGACCACAUUAUGGAGUGAAAUAGGUCAGGGACGAUGCCCACUCAGGCUUUGCAAGUAUAGAGGAGUGGUGGUCCUGGAUGGAUUAGAUAUGAGAGCAGUUUCUGAAGCCUGGUGGGACUCAGCCCUGCCCAGGGUCACACAGGGUCACACAGAUGACCAUUCCUGGUCAUUCCCAACUGAGCUCCCCAGUCACUCAGUCUGUGAACCAGGAAUAGGCCUACCUUGUCAGCCCUAGUCUUGGGCGACUGACGUGUACAGACACCUUUCAAAGUUGGGCAAGCUCUGUGGAAUUAGAAUUGGAAUCAAUGUUCCUGUCUUGAGUGGGAGUGACCAUAACUGUUUGAAUAAUAAAUUAUAAAUGGGGCUAAUUAGUAAAAUAACCUCCACAGAGGGAAAAAAAAAAGCAGAGAUAAGAAUCUGAAAGGCAUUUAAUACAGAAGAGUUCUAGUCUCUGGAUCCUGGCUGAGCAGGGACCAGCUCCUCUGGCAAAGGGAGAUAAGAAUCUCAGAGUGGCCCACAAGCUAAAUGGAAAUCAAUAACUUUGUCUCUAAAAAUAAAGAAGUUACUGGGAUACAUAAACAGAAGCCUAGUGUUUCUAGAGCAUGAGGUCAUCCAUCAGCCUGGGCCGGAAAGCUCUGAGCCUCGGGUCCCAAUGGAGAGGGAAGACAUGUCCUUGGAAUUAAGCCUGUCACGGGGUUGAGGCGAGAAGGGGGAAUGGUGGAUGACAACCCUCAACCCAUUUUGCAGAUGGGGAUACUGAGGCCAUUGUUAACUCAAUAAUGACUUAACAACCAUGAGUCUUUGAGAGGCAGAGUGCGGAGACCAUGCACAGGACAUUGCAUUGGUUGUACCAAGGUCUAUUCACAGUCAUGAUGACGAGAAUUUCUGGUUAGGGGCUGUGCGGGUGGCUUAGUCAGCAAGGGUCUGAAGCACAAGCACAAGAACCUGGUGGGACUAAGAGGGUCUGUAGUCUCAGUGCUGUGGGUGCAGAGACCAGGCAUCCCUGGGGCUUGUGGGCCAGCUGGUUAUAGAAAAUCAAUGAGCGGAAGGUUCAGUAGGAAGAGGUCCUGUGUCAAAAAUUAAGGUGAAGAGUGGCUGAGAAAGACACUGAUAUCAACCUUGGGCUCCACAUUCACACAUGCGUGUGAAUGAACAUGUACAGACACACACCAUAGCACACACCAGUAAGUUAAAAAAAAUCAGAAAAUGCCCAUUAAGACAUUUUACAGUGCCUGUAAGCACACAGCAGUCUCUCUCACUGUCUGAUACUUCAUCUCCAUAAAUACACAUUUCUGUGGGUAAAUUUUUGUGAGUCUAAACUUCAACGUCAGUACAGAGUGUGGCAGGAGAAUCACUGAAAGUCUGAGGCCAACCUGGUCUACAAAAUGAGACCCUGCCUCAGAACAAAACCGAGCCAAGCAGAAGAUGGGGACUUCUCUUCCUAUUCCACAGGGCGUUUGGUAUCUAAGGCUUUCGGGCCAUUUUAGUCUUUAAUACUUUUACUCUAUCUUGGGUACAUGUGGUGCUGCUAUAACAAAAAAACCCAAAGCUGGUAAUUUAUAAACGAUGAGAUGUAUUUCUUCCAAGAUAGAAACCCAGCAAGUUUAGUGUCUGGUGAAGGCAGUUUUGUAUCUAAGAUGGUGACCAAAGGCUGCAUCCUCCAGGAGGGAGGACUUGGUAUAUUACAUGGCAAAAUCAGAAUUAAACAAGGGUCAAGGCCGCUUUGUAGGGGUGAGGGCAGAGCCAAGGGUCUCCAUUCUCAGUAGUGUCACAUGUAGGCUGAAAUUUCAAGCCAAAAAUGUGGAGAGAACAAAGACAAAUAAAACAUCAUCAUCAUCACCACCACCACCACCACCACCACCACCACCACCACCAUCAUCAUCAUCAUCAUCAUCAUCAUCAUCAUCAUCAUUAUUCGAAUCUUCUCUCCUGUGAGCAGACACAGCCCUAUGACUUUGAACCUAGCCCUCCAUCCCCACAUUCCCAGUCUGUAAACUCUAAGGCCUGACAGGGUUGGGGUUCAGGGUCAGGAGUAAUGUGACCUUAUGCCUGUGUCUUAUCAGGAGACUUGUGAUGCGUGUUGUAUGAAUCCCCCGUACUCACUGUAGCACUGAAAACCAAACGGCUCACGGCUGUGCACAUAGCCAGAGAGCAGCUCAGCUGUCCACUCCCAGCUUUGGGUUUACUCUGGGGAGGGGAAUUGAGAACAAGGAGGCUGGGCUGUGCGGGGGAAGGGCGUCUGGGAAUCUGUACGCUUUGGAUUCAGUUUUGCAGGGAAUGCAAAAUUGGUUCUAAAACUUAAAAAAAAUCUAUUUUUAAAAAGUUAAACAAGAGCUUUUAAUGAUUCAGGAAUGGGAAAGGUGGCGGGGAAUGAGAGAUGGGAUAGGGAUGGUGGCAGAUGGCCGUCGAAGCUGGGCUCUGACUAAAUGGAGCCUUGCUACUAUUAUCUCUUGAAAUAAAUACAUGUGGAAGUCCCUGCA